rnacentral:rRNA from 1 species
CCCUUAGAUGUUCUGGGCAGCACGCGCGCUACAAUGGUCUUCGCAAACGGAUGCAUUCUCGAAGGAGAAUGCCAAUCUUGGAAUCUAUGCCUUGGUCGGGACAGUUGCUUGCAAUUUUUCGACUCGAACCAGGAAUUCCUUGUAAUCGUGAUUCAUCACAUCACGAUGAAUACGUCCCUGCCCUUUGUACACACCGCCCGUCGCUCCUACCGAUCGAAGAGUUAGGUGAAUUGUUUUGAUCGAUAAGAUUUGACUAUGGUCAACUCUCGUUGUGAAAUUCUGUGAAUCUGACUGUUUAGAGGAAGGAAAAGUCGUGACA